UGAGGAAUAUUGGUCAAUGGGCGAGAGCCUGAACCAGCCAAGUAGCGUGCAGGAUGACGGCCCUAUGGGUUGUAAACUGCUUUUAUAUGGGAAUAAAGUGAGGGACGUGUCCCUUAUUGCAUGUACCAUACGAAUAAGGACCGGCUAAUUCCGUGCCAGCAGCCGCGGUAAUACGGAAGGUCCAGGCGUUAUCCGGAUUUAUUGGGUUUAAAGGGAGCGUAGGCUGUUUGUUAAGCGUGUUGUGAAAUGUAGGAGCUCAACUUUUAGAUUGCAGCGCGAACUGGCAGACUUGAGUGCGCACAACGUAGGCGGAAUUCAUGGUGUAGCGGUGAAAUGCGUAGAGAUCAUGACGAACACCGAUUGCGAAGGCAGCUUACGGGAGCGCAACUGACGCUAAAGCUCGAAGGUGCGGGUAGCGAACAGG
rnacentral:rRNA from 1 species